rnacentral:lncRNA from 1 species
GCCCAAAUUUGGAGUUCAUUUCUUCCAUAACCAAAGAAGCCCAAAUGACCAAAACCCUAACCCUAGUCUUCUUCUUAAAGAAAAACCUUAACCUACACUACAAAAAGAGAAGAACCUUAAUAUAUACACAACAAUGGAGAUGAAAGCAAAAAAACCCUAGAAAAAAGCACAGCCGCCGGUCUUCUUCACCAGCUACGCCGGACCCCCGCCGUCAACCCCUAAAUCCCCGUCGCCUCUCCCUAUAUCCCAGCCGCCAGUCCGACAACAGCCACAGCCGCUACACCAAACGAACCAGACCCUUCUUCUUCAAAAACUCACAAUAGAACACCCCUGAGCCCUAAAAAAAACCCUAGCACACCUACACACAAACCAGCCGCCUCCGCCAGCCACUCUACUCGCCGGUAAAAGACCAGCUCCAAGCUGUGGCCGCACCACCCUCACCCAUCUCCUACACACCCUAAGGAGUGGACAGAAUCGAGAAACACCAGUGAAAACCCCCUAGCCGUUCCCUGUUCUAAACCUCACAACCAACGACACCUUCUUUUCCUUCAACACUCCUUGCAAGAAAACGAGACGAGGGGACUGAAAACUGGACAGAACUUUCGGAUAAGAACUAAGUUCAUGUAAUUUGAUUGAGAAGUUGUUGAGCUCGAAGUUUCGUUGCCGUCCGUGGUUUGGUUCGUGUUCCUGUCCGAAUUUUGCUGCCUGUUUCGCCGUUGAAUUUUUGGAAUUGAAGUUGUUGUACUUGCCGAUCAUACGUAUAGUGAAAGAAUUCGCUUAACAGUUGGACUAGUUUCUGUUCGAAUUCGAGGAGAACGUUCGGCUUAGAUUUAAUUAACAUCGAAAAGGUCAUUGCUUUAAUUUAAUUGAGGUUCGAUUAUUCAAUCCUUUACUCAUUAUAUUUUGGUUUUGUUGAAAAUAUAAUUUAAUAUAAACUUGAUUUUGUAAUAAUUAUUUGGGC